GACGAACGCUGGCGGCGUGCUUAACACAUGCAAGUCGAACGGAAAGGCCCUGCUUUUGUGGGGUGCUCGAGUGGCGAACGAGUGAGUAACACGUGAGUAACCUGCCCUUGACUUUGGGAUAACUUCAGGAAACUGGGGCUAAUACCGGAUAGGAGCUCCUGCUGCAUGGUGGGGGUUGGAAAGUUUCGGCGGUUGGGGAUGGACUCGCGGCUUAUCAGCUUGUUGGUGGGGUAGUGGCUUACCAAGGCUUUGACGGGUAGCCGGCCUGAGAGGGUGACCGGCCACAUUGGGACUGAGAGACGGCCCAGACUCCUACGGGAGGCAGCAGUGGGGAAUAUUGCACAAUGGGCGGAAGCCUGAUGCAGCAACGCCGCGUGCGGGAUGACGGCCUUCGGGUUGUAAACCGCUUUCGCCUGUGACGAAGCGUGAGUGACGGUAAUGGGUAAAGAAGCACCGGCUAACUACGUG
rnacentral:rRNA from 1 species